rnacentral:rRNA from 1 species
CAGUCGCCGCGGUAAUACGUAGGGUGCGAGCGUUAAUCGGAAUUACUGGGCGUAAAGCGUGCGCAGGCGGUUCGCCAAGUCAGGUGUGAAAUCCCCGGGCUUAACCUGGGAAUUGCGCUUGAAACUAGCGGGCUUGAGUGCGGCAGAGGGGGGUGGAAUUCCACGUGUAGCAGUGAAAUGCGUAGAGAUGUGGAGGAACACCGAUGGCGAAGGCAGCCCCCUGGGUCGACACUGACGCUCAUGCACGAAAGCGUGGGGAGCAAACAGGAUUAGAUACCCCCGUAGUCCCUGUCUCUUAUAC